GAGGAGAAGCAGGCCCCUUAAGCUGGGGCUUCUUUUGUUAAUCUUUUUUACAAUUAGAUCAAGAAUUCUGUAGCAAUCUGCUUCACUAUAGUGACAAGAAGCCCCAGUCACAGUGGCUUAAAAUUCCAAACGUAUGUCUCUUGCUUUGUUAUCUUGGUGACAGCUAGUAGGCAGUUCUGCUCCAUGUGUCUUCCCAUUCUGGGAUCCAUUCUAAAGGAACAAGUCCUACGUGGAGUUGUUGGAAAAGAGCAAGAAGCUGGUAGAAGCACAUGGUGCUUUUUAGAUUUUUUUUCACUCUGAGAUGACAUACUGUCCCUUCCAUUCAUUUUUCACUGAUCCAAGCAAGUUCAUGGCCACCUGGACAAUGGGGCAAAGCAAUAUAUCCUCUACCCGAAGGCCUACAUGAACGGAAGGCAAGAGAGAUACAGUGGGCCAGGAAGAAAUAAGAUUUGAAAAGACAAAGGCCAGCAAACCAUUCCAUCGAUUGAAAGCAUCACUAAGAGCAUCUCCCUAUUGCAGGAACAGACAUGUGGUGACUUGGAAAUAGUUUUUUAUAGGUAGCUCUUAUUCUUAAAUUCAACAUAAGUUGCCAUUUUGGAAAAUUGAUACAUUAUAUUUAUCACACAGUUAUAAUUUCUAAUGGUUUGAGAAGUCCUAGAACUGACCACAUCAAUACUUGGCAUAUUUUCAAAAUGCAGAGAAAGUGCUGAGACUCCAAAACACCGUGCUGAAUUCUUUAAAACUGAAAAACAACUGGUUUUUUAUAUAAAGUAAAAUAAGAAUCAAAAGGGUGGAAAUGGCUGCAUUUUUGAAAUUCCAUUGUAAAUUAUAGUCUAAAAUACUGUUUUAAAAAACCAGCAUGUUUGCAAAUACAUUUGACUCGCCUUGGAAGUUAGAAAGCCUUACUGUUUGGUUUACUAUUCAGACAGAUUGUAGAUGCUUACAGAAAAUGUAAUUACUUUUUUUAAGCCCCAGUGGGCCAUUUUGAGGACUUCUGUGAUAACUUACUGAAUAUAUUGGAAACUUCCCAUACUUUCCUUAAUACUGGACUAAAUUUGACUGGUAUA